rnacentral:lncRNA from 1 species
GGACAGUUUAAAUAGACUACUUUUUUAAAUGGAAAAAAAAAACAUAUGACUGUGCGGCAUAUUUUCAACAUAUAUAUGACUCGAUCUUUUGGUCUUUCUCAGAACUGAAUUUAAUCGCUCUUCGAUUUCUUUUUUUGAUCAUCUACCUAUGAUAUGCGUGUAAAGUGUGUACAAAUGUGAAGAUUACUUGUAUAAGAGGAUUGCACAAUGUUAUCAGACUGAUAUGACAUCUGUCCACUGAAUAUUGUGCAUAUGUACAGUUUUAUAUUUUAGUCAAGUAAAACUUAGUAAUAGUUUAAGUUCUUAAUGUAUUACGCCAC